rnacentral:rRNA from 1 species
UACAGAGGGGGCAAGCGUUAUUCGGAAUUAUUGGGCGUAAAGGGCGCGUAGGCGGCGAUUCAAGUGAAGGGUGAAAUCCCUCGGCUUAACCGAGGAACUGCCUGUCAGACUGGGUUGCUUGAGACCGGGAGAGGCGAGUGGAAUUCCCAGUGUAGCGGUGAAAUGCGUAGAUAUUGGGAGGAACACCAGUGGCGAAGGCGGCUCGCUGGACCGGAACUGACGCUGAGGCGCGAAAGCGUGGGGAGCAAACAGG